UACAGAGGUCCCAAGCGUUGUUCGGAUUCACUGGGCGUAAAGGGUGCGUAGGCGGCCGGGUAAGUCUGAUGUGAAAUCUCACAGCUUAACUGUGAAACUGCAUUGGAUACCAUCCGGCUCGAGGAAUGGAGGGGAGACUGGAAUACUUGGUGUAGCAGUGAAAUGCGUAGAUAUCAAGUGGAACACCAGUGGCGAAGGCGAGUCUCUGGACAUUUCCUGACGCUGAGGCACGAAAGCCAGGGGAGCAAACGGG
rnacentral:rRNA from 1 species